AUUGCUUCUCGGCCUUUUGGCUAAGAUCAAGUGUAGAAUUCACCAUACUGUACUAUAGUUAUUGGAAGGGACCAUUCUUCUAACAUACUGUGAGAACUUUCAGAGCAAGAACCAGAUUAUAUUCAUCUCCAUAUUCCAAUGGCCUGGAUACAUGAAUGUGGUUU
rnacentral:snRNA from 1 species